rnacentral:lncRNA from 1 species
AACACUGACAGGAGGCAGGAGUCCCAGCCGCCGUGCUGGAGGACGGAGUCACACGAACCGCACGCCGCCCGGAGGGAUGUCAGGGGCCGAGCGUCGGGAGACAAAGACCAGCCCGCGAAGCGCCCGGGCGGCGAGGGGCGGCCCCGGCGCGGCCCUGCGCCCCUAACCGCCCCGAGGAGUUGCGAGCACCGCCGAGCGCCGCCCAAGUGCGCGCCCGGGGUCCUCCGGGCUCCCCGCCCACCCAGCGCGGCCGGCGCCGCCCGGGCCCACCCCCGGGCCGUUUCCCUCCCAAUUUGGGAACCGCGCGCCCAGGGACAAAGGGGGAGGGCGCGCCGGGGGCGGCGGCGGGCCGCGGGGCAGACGCCCCUCGGGGAUCGGCGGGAAGUCUCGGCAGCGGCCCCGCCCGCCCCCCCCCACGCGGCCGCACACGUCCCGGGACCCCUGCCCCCCCCCGCAGCCCCUUCCCCCGGCCUCCGCACAAGUUCUCCCGCCCCCCCCGAGCCCCGCCCCUUGCCCGCUUCGGAGCCGGCCCUGCGGCCGCCCCUCACCGGGCGGCGUGUUCCCCGGGAGCCGCCUCCUCCGCCGGGCCUCGGCCCGUCCCACCGGCCGCCGCCUCAUGUGCCCCGCGUCGCCAUCGCCUUCGCCGCCACCUCUCCUCCAACUCUCGCCGCCGCCCUCGCCUCAGUCUCCAGCCGAGGCCGAAGCCGCUCCCGCCGCCGCCUCCCGCUCCCGCCGCCCGGACCCGCGGGGAGGCGCCUGCGCACUACGCGCCGCGGUGGGGGCGGGGGCGUCCCGCCGCGGCCUGGGAGCAGGGGGCGCGCGGCACGUGGCGCUCGGGUGGGAGGGGGCGCCCCGGAGCGCGCGGGCGGCGGCGCGGGCGUCCAACUUUCCGCGGGCGGGCCCUCGCGCGCUCCCGGGCAGCCCCGGAGGCGCGGAGCGUGUGGGUGCCACCCGCGUGGAGUCUGGACCCGGGUGGGCGCAGACCUCGCCCCCAGGACGAUUCAUUCCUCCAGCUUGCUCCUUGGGGCAGCAGCCCCCCGGCAGCCAGCGCCUCACUUUGCGCUUUGUGCCUCCGUCUCUGCCGGAGGACACGCCUUACCUGGGCAUCCUAGGUCGGUCCUACGAGCCUCGGAGUUGUCUUCUGUGCGCUCAGCCGAGGCCUGGGUCCAAUGUGACACAUCAGGAUGCUGA